rnacentral:tRNA from 1 species
GCCUGGGUGGCUCAGUCGGUUGAGUGUCCGACUUCAGCUCAGGUCACGAUCUCGCGGUCCGUGGGUUCGAGCCCCGCGUCGGGCU